UAAGAGCCAGCGCAAGCUAUAUGACAUCUAUACAGGAUUUGUAAUAAGUGCUUCAAAAGCAGCCCGAAAA